ACCAGCAGCCAUAUCGCCCUGCAACUCACAACUGACAGGCCACUGAACUAAGCAGGUAUGCGUCUAGUCAAUACCUGGAUGGGAGACCUCCUGGGAAAAAUGUUGCUACUGGAA
rnacentral:rRNA from 1 species